rnacentral:rRNA from 1 species
GACGUAGGGCGCGAGCGUUGUCCGGAUUUAUUGGGCGUAAAGAGCUCGUAGGCGGCUCGUUGCGUCGGCUGUGAAAACCCGCAGCUCAACUGUGGGCUUGCAGCCGAUACGGGCGGGCUGGGAUUCGGUAGGGGAGACUGGAAUUCCUGGUGUAGCGGUGAAAUGCGCAGAUAUCAGGAGGAACACCGGUGGCGAAGGCGGGUCUCUGGGACGGUACUGACGCUGAGACGCGAAAGCGUGGGGAGCGAACAGG